AAUACGUUGUCGCUGAGAGCGCGUCACUUCCGGCGGGCCAAGCUGGUCCUGCAGGGGGGUGCUAGGGUCUCUUCCUGGGCGGGUAAAUGAAUAUGAGUAAAUAUUUGUGGAGCGUCUAGCGUUUGAAAGGUGCAGCGCUGCACAACGAGGACACAGAGAUGAAGUGUGUCUGGAACCCACGACUAGUUGGAAGAGAUGCACGGCAGGAUUGGGGGGAGGCGGUGGAAAACACUGGGAAGACUUCCUUGAGAAGGUACCUAGCACUGUGUGCUGAAUGCUUUACAAUCAUUGCUUCCUUCACCCAGUAUCCUGAGAGGUGCAGAAAGUAACGGUUAAGGAAUGAUCAGUGACCAUUUCUUCCUCCACAAAGAAGGCAUGCCUGAGCUUAUCCUGAUGGAACACGACAGGGCUAUUGGCUACGUGACAUUACCUUGCUGAGCUUGG